AAAAGCAAGAGGAAGAAAGAAGUCUGGAGCUUGGACCUUAGCGACAUCCGCAUCCCACCCCUACAGAGGGGCAGACCCCGUGCUGUGGUGCAAGAGACAGCAGCAACUUGCCUUCCAACUUGAAGAAGAUAUCGCAAUGUGUUCCUGAGCAUUGGAUUUCCAGAAACUUCACUAAGACGACAGUCUUCUGAAAGAUGUGUUAUAAAAGAGUUUUUGGCAUCUUGAAGCUUCUGCCAGAUUUAUUUUGGUAUCCUAUGGCCAGAGACAGUAGAACAUCACAGAUCACGAUGCAGCUUCUGGUCUUGCAAUUUCUGAUGACCCAGCUGCUUCAAGUCCAGGGGCUGCAGAGGCUGGACCACAGAUGGCGAUGUAGCAAUGUCAAGAAGACAGAAGACAAUGUGUCAUGCAUUCCACAAACCAUCAAGG